GGUGGCUCAGUGGUAGAGUGCUUUUCUUGCAUGCAUGAGGCCCUGGGUUCAAUUCCCAGCACCA
rnacentral:tRNA from 1 species